GGGGGGCACAUGAACGCUGGUGGGCACAUGAACGCUGGUUACCCAAUGGGCUGAGAGGGGAGUGGGGGCACAUGAACGCUGGUUACCCAACGGGCUGAGAGGGGAGUGGGGGGCACAUGACCGCUGGUUACCCAAUGGGCUGAGAGGGGAGUGGGGGGCACAUGAACGCUGGUUACCCAAUGGGCUGAGAGGGGAGUGGGGGGCACAUGACCGCUGGUUACCCAAUGGGCUGAGAGGGGAGUGGGGGGCACAUGAAUGCUGGUUACCCAAUGGGCUGAGAGGGGAGUGGGGGCACAUGAACGCUGGUUACCCAACGGGCUGAGAGGGGAGUGGGGGGCACAUGAACGCUGGUUACCCAAUGGGCUGAGAGGGGAGGGAGGGGGCACAUGAAUGCUGGUUACCCAACGGGCUGAGAGGGGAGUGGGGGAGGCACAUGAACGCUGGUUACCCAACGGGCUGAGAGGGGAGUGGGGGCACAUGAACACUGGUUACCCAAUGGGCUGAGAGGGGAGUGGGGGGCACAUGAACGCUGGUUACCCAAUGGGCUGAGAGGGGAGUGGGGAGGCACAUGAACGCUGGUUACCCAAUGGGCUGAGAGGGGAGUGGGGGCACAUGAACGCUGGUUACCCAAUGGGCUGAGAGGGGAGUGGGGGGCACAUGAACGCUGGUUACCCAAUGGGCUGAGAGGGGAGUGGGGGCACAUGAACGCUGGUUACCCAAUGGGCUGAGAGGGGAGUGGGGGCACAUGAACGCUGGUUACCCAAUGGGCUGAGAGGGGAGUGGGGGCACAUGAACGCUGGUUACCCAAUGGGCUGAGAGGGGAGUGGGGGCACAUGAACGC
ensembl:lncRNA